UUAAAUAAUAAUUAAUAUAAUUUAUCUUUACCCGAAGUAAGAAGAGCUAACUAGCUAUUUAAUUUUUAGUUUUUGUUGUAUAAUGUAGCAAAAUUAUAUUAUAAAUAGAUAGUUAGGAGUGAAAGGCUAUUCAAUUCUUAUUAAUAACUGGAUUAAAUCAAAAUAUAUUAAGUAUAUGUUAAUCAAUUGUAUAAUGCUAAGAUUAUACAAAGAGAAUAAACUAAUUAGAGAAAUACAGAUUAUUUUCUUAAAAGAAGCCAAUAUAUUAGUUAUACACAUUAAUGUUAAAUUCUUUUUCUUGUUAUAGAUUUAUAAUAAUAAAAGCAAUGAGACCCUAAUAGUUAAUAAUGUUUAAAUUAGUAUAAAUAAUAAAAAGUAGCAAGGAACUCGGCAAAAGACAUUUUUUCAACUGUUUAUCAAAAACAUAGCUAGUUGCAUUUAUAAUUGGUUAUCUCUGCCCAGUGUAUAUUAUUAACGGCCGCAGUACACUGACUGUGCUAAGGUAGCAUAAUAAAUUGGCUUUUAAUUGAAGUCGGGAAUGAACGAGUCUAUGAAAAACAACUGUCUUUUUACUUUUAUUAAGAAGUUACUAAGAAAGUGCAAAUACUUUCUAUAAGUCAUAUAAUAGACGAGAAGACCCUGUAAAUUUUAAUUUCUUAUAUAAUUUAUUAUAUUAAACAUCUUUUUGUUGGGGCAACAGUUUAACAGUAAUUAAAUUUAAAUAAACAUCAAUGAAAUAAUUUACCAAGUAAUACUAAUAAUAACUAAAUUACUACAGGGAUAACAGCAUAAUUUUAUAUAUAAGAUUGUGACCUCGAUGUUGGAUUAGGGCCACGUUAGAUCAGCCAUUUAAUAGUGCUGGUUCUGUUCGAACUAUUAACCCCU
rnacentral:rRNA from 1 species